ACGCUCGACACCUACGGUAGGCAGCAGUGAGGAAUAUUGGUCAAUGGGCGCAGGCCUGAACCAGCCAAGUAGCGUGAAGGAUGACUGCCCUAUGGGUUGUAAACUUCUUUUAUAUGGGAAUAAAGUUUUCCACGUGUGGAAUUUUGUAUGUACCAUAUGAAUAAGGAUCGGCUAACUCCGUGCCAGCAGCCGCGGUAAUCUGAGCGGGCUGGCAAGGC
rnacentral:rRNA from 1 species